GAUGAACGCUGGCGGCGUGCCUAAUACAUGCAAGUCGAGCGAACAGACGAGGAGCUUGCUCCUCUGACGUUAGCGGCGGACGGGUGAGUAACACGUGGAUAACCUACCUAUAAGACUGGGAUAACUUCGGGAAACCGGAGCUAAUACCGGAUAAUAUAUUGAACCGCAUGGUUCAAUAGUUAAAGACGGUUUUGCUGUCACUUAUAGAUGGAUCCGCGCCGGAUUAGCUAGUUGGUAAGGUAACGGCUUACCAAGGCAACGAUGCGUAGCCGACCUGAGAGGGUGAUCGGCCACACUGGAACUGAGACACGGUCCAGACUCCUACGGGAGGCAGCAGUAGGGAAUCUUCCGCAAUGGGCGAAAGCUUGACGGAGCAACGCCGCGUGAGUGAUGAAGGUCUUCGGAUCGUAAAACUCUGUUAUUAGGGAAGAACAAAUGUGUAAGUAACUAUGCACGUCUUGACGGUACCCAAUCAGAAAGCCACGGCUAACUACGUG
rnacentral:rRNA from 1 species